rnacentral:rRNA from 1 species
UUUGUAUAAUGGGUCAGCGACUUAUAUUCUGUAGCAAGGUUAACCGUAUAGGGGAGCCGUAGGGAAACCGAGUCUUAACUGGGCGAAUGAGUUGCAGGGUAUAGACCCGAAACCCGGUGAUCUAGCCAUGGGCAGGUUGAAGGUUGGGUAACACUAACUGGAGGACCGAACCGACUAAUGUUGAAAAAUUAGCGGAUGACUUGUGGCUGGGGGUGAAAGGCCAAUCAAACCGGGAGAUAGCUGGUUCUCCCCGAAAGCUAUUUAGGUAGCGCCUCGUGAACUCAUCUUCGGGGGUAGAGCACUGUUUCGACUAGGGGGUCAUCCCGACUUACCAACUCGAUGCAAACUACGAAUACCGAAGAAUGUUAUCACGGGAGACACACGGCGGGUGCUAACGUUCGUCGUGAAGAGGGAAACAACCCAGACCGCCAGCUAAGGUCCCAAAGUCAUAGUUAAGUGGGAAACGAAGUGGGAAGGCUCAGACAGCCAGGAUGUUGGCUUAGAAGCAGCCAUCAUUUAAAGAAAGCGUAAUAGCUCACUGGUCGAGUCGGCCUGCGCGGAAGAUGUAACGGGGCUAAACUAUGCACCGAAGCUGCGGCAGCGAUAUGUAAAUAUUGUUGGGUAGGGGAGCGU